rnacentral:rRNA from 1 species
AGAGCUUGCUCUCUGAUGGCGAGUGGCGAACGGGUGAGUAAUACAUCGGAACGUGUCCGUUUGUGGGGGACAACCACCCGAAAGGGUGGCUAAUACCGCAUAAGACCUGAGGGUGAAAGCCGGGGACCGCAAGGCCUGGCGCGAACGGAGCGGCCGAUGACUGAUUAGCUGGUUGGCGGGGUAAAGGCCCACCAAGGCGACGAUCAGUAGCUGGUCUGAGAGGACGACCAGCCACACUGGAACUGAGACACGGUCCAGACUCCUACGGGAGGCAGCAGUGGGGAAUUUUGGACAAUGGGGGCAACCCUGAUCCAGCCAUGCCGCGUGCGGGAAGAAGGCCUUCGGGUUGUAAACCGCUUUUGUCGGGGACGAAAAGGUGCGGGUUAAGAGCUAGCGCUGAUGACGGUACCUGAAGAAUAAGCACCGGCUAACUACGUGCCAGCAGCCGCGGUAAUACGUAGGGUGCGAGCGUUAAUCGGAAUUACUGGGCGUAAAGCGUGCGCAGGCGGUUGGGUAAGACAGAUGUGAAAUCCCCGGGCUUAACCUGGGAACUGCAUUUGUGACUGUCCGACUGGAGUAUGUCAGAGGGGGGUGGAAUUCCAAGUGUAGCAGUGAAAUGCGUAGAUAUUUGGAAGAACACCGAUGG